rnacentral:misc_RNA from 1 species
UGGUUCUGGCAUCGAUGAAGAACGCAGCGAAAUGCGAUAAGUAAUGUGAAUUGCAGAAUUCAGUGAACCAUCGAAUCUUUGAACGCACAUUGCGCCCAUUAGUAUUCUAAUGGGCAUGCCUGUUCGAGCGUCAUUAAAUCCCUUGAGCCCUCGGCUCAGCGUUGGGCGUCCACGGCCUCGGGCCUGUGGUGCCCUAAAUGGAGCGGCGGAGUCGCGGUACUCUCUGAGCUUAGUGAAUCAUUCAGCUUCUGAGUUGCCUUGCCCCCUGCCGUUAAACACCCCAAUCUAUUUGGUUGACCUCGGAUCAGGUAGGAAUACCCGCUGA